rnacentral:rRNA from 1 species
GACGAACGCUGGCGGCGUGCUUAACACAUGCAAGUCGAACGGAAAGGCCCCUUUGGGGGUACUCGAGUGGCGAACGGGUGUGUAACACGUGUGUAACCUUCCCUUGACUUCGGGAUAACUUCAGGAAACUGGGGCUAUUACCGGUUAGGUAUCCUUGCUGCAUGGUGGUGUUUGGAAAGCUUCGGCGGUUUUGGAUGGACUCCUGGCUUAUCAGCUUGUUGGUGGGGUAGUGGCUUACACAGGCUUUCACGGGUAGCCGGCCUGAGAGGGCGAGCGGGCACAUUGGGACUGAGAGACGGCGCAGACUCCUACGGGAGGCAGAAGUGGGGAAUAUUGCACAAUGGGCGGAAGCAGGAUGCAGCAACGCCGCGUGCGGGAUGACGGACUUCGGGUUGUAAAACGGUUUCAGCAGGGGCGAAGCUUGUGGUGACGGUACCUGCAGAAGAAGCACCGGCUAACUACGUG